CCUCUUUCCGGGUACCGGGGCGGAUUACAGCUGUUCUGGGCGGGGCUGCUUGCCCAGGCAAAGGGUAGGCUUUUAUCAAUCACCUUGGGAGGAACUUUGAAGACUAUUCAAACGCUUCUACCUGGGUGUGAGUUUGUUACAUUAAUACUUCUGUUUUAAAAAUGAAGAAUCAGGGACAUUAACAAAUGUCACUGCAAGACCUGGCAUGUCUCGGUGUCUGCAAAGUCCAGAAGAGGACAUUAGAACGCCUUGGAGCGUAAGUUAAAAGGCUUUUGUAAACCACCAAAUACAGGUGCUGGGAUUCAAACUCAGUCCUCAGGACUGAGCGGGAAACACUUUUAACCAAUGAGCCAUCUCUCCAGCCCCUCAGAAAAACUUCAAGAAGCCAAAGAAUUGAAGCUGGAAUUGCAGAAGGCUGUGAGCUGCCAAGUGAGUUCAAGAAACAAGGCCAUUCGGCAAGAGCAGCAACUGAUCUUUCCAGCUUCACGAAACACAAUGUUUUAAAAAAGGUUUACUGACAUAAUUUUAUAUAGCAAAGAUUUAACCAUAAUAGCUAUAUAAUUUAAAUAACUUUUAAUUGUAUAGAAUUGUAAAACCAUUGCCAUAAUAAAGCUUUGGAACAUUUUUCGCCCCUGGAAGUUCACCCUUGCUAUGUGUAAUUAAUCCCCACUCCUACCUCCUUUCGUAUCUAACCACUGAUCUGACUGUAUUUCUAGAAAUCUGUCUUUUUUAAAACAUUUAAAUUUGAAGGGAAUAAAGUUGGUUCUGGAGAGAUGUUCAGUGGUUCAGAGGACUGACUGUUUUAUUCCUAGCAACCAUAUUGCAGCUAAUAAUUAUCUGCUAUUCUAUUUGCAGGGGAUCUGACCUCCUCUUCUGGCUUGUCUGAGUCCAAGUACACACAUGGUAUACAGACACAUAACACCCAAAAUACCUAUACAUAGAACAAUAAAUAAAAUCAUACACGAUUUUGCAUAUGGUUCCUCUCACUCACUAUAUUGCUUGAGAUCUGCUCCUAUUACCGAAUGUAAUAUGCAUGCUGAUGCAUUUUUUUCAAACCUAGGACCCUACACACACUGGGCAAGCGCUAUGCUCCUGAGCUAAGUCAUACUCAUUAACUGGAUAUGCCAUAUUUGUUUAUCCAUUAAGCAGUUGAUGAACCUUGUAUUUUGCAUGUUGAGUUAUUAGGACAGCUGUCCUCAUAUUCUCGGGCAUGCCUUCCUCCUAUGGGGAAGUUUCCAUUUCUCUUGGGAUAAUGUUUGGGAAUUGCUGGAUCUUAUUUAAGUUUAUGGUCACUGAUUUUUGUUCUUAUUUAAAUUAAUGGUUACUGGUUUUGGUUUUUGUAUUUUUUUUUUCCUUUCUA
rnacentral:sRNA from 1 species